UACAGAGGUCUCAAGCGUUGUUCGGAUUCAUUGGGCGUAAAGGGUGCGUAGGUGGUGGGGUAAGUCGGAUGUGAAAUCCCGGGGCUCAACCCCGGAACUGCAUUCGAAACUGCCUUGCUCGAGUACUGGAGAGGAGACUGGAAUUUACGGUGUAGCAGUGAAAUGCGUAGAUAUCGUAAGGAAGACCAGUGGCGAAGGCGAGUCUCUGGACAGUUACUGACACUGAGGCACGAAGGCCAGGGGAGCAAACGGG
rnacentral:rRNA from 2 species